rnacentral:rRNA from 1 species
GUGCCAGCAGCCGCGGUAAGACGAACUGUCCUAACGUUGUUCGGAAUCACUGGGCUUAAAGGGCGCGUAGGCGGUCCGACAAGUCAGGGGUGAAAUCCUGCAGCUUAACUGCAGAAGUGCCUUUGAUACUGUCGGUCUUGAGGGAGAUAGGGGUGUGCGGAACUCACAGUGGAGCGGUGAAAUGCGUUGAUAUUGUGAGGAACGCCGGAGGCGAAAGCGGCGCACUGGAUCUCUUCUGACGCUGAGGCGCGAAAGCUAGGGGAGCAAACGGGAUUAGAAACCCCCGUAGUCC